AGAGAGUCUGGGAUAUGUAUUUUUUUAGACUUCUGGUAGGAAACAUAAAAGAGCUAGCGGAAUGGAUGCUGAGUAGUAACAGAUAAUAUCUAGCACAUCUAUCUCUAGGUGGACCAAAUAUUUUCAUCCUGACUGCUAACACUAGCAUUCCAACUGUGUUCAAAAUAUAGGAUAUCAUUGACGGACAAAAUCCUACAAAAUAUAAAGAGGGAUGGGGAUGAGACUAAAGAUCAAGGAAUAAGCUUGAACAGGAAAAUGAAUAUCUCUUUCUCUAAUUCUGGAAGGAAAAUGGUGAGAAGAGGUACAGACAGUUUAUAGGUCAGGACCAGAAGGAGAGGGUGGAGAAGUUAAGGGAGGUUCUGUCUCAUGGCAUGUAUUAUCUCUGUAAAGUAGGGAGCAAAUAUCAUCUGCCCUGAGUGAAAAAGGCAGAAGCUGGCGAGGGGGCCUGAUGAGAGUGGAUAGCUAGUGAGGGAAAUGGGAGAGGAAGCUGACACAGCAUGGGAAAUCUUUCUGCACACCAGCUAGCAAAAAAAAAAAAAGAAACACAGGACUUAUUUUAUAAAGCAUCGUUAUUCUUAUUUAUUGAAAAUGUCCAUUUUAAAAGUCUUCAAAAUAAAAACAAGUUAGAAAAUUUGAGCUUGUGUAAGAAGGGACAUGACAGAAGAAGAGCUGAAAGGCCUCUAAGGGCAGCAGUUUAAUUACAGGGAAACAGGAACCCAUGUAUAGAGUAUUGUAAACAACACAACUAUGGAGACACUGCUCUCAGGUUAACAUGGCUUCAUUUCCUUUAUAUUAUUGUUUAGUGUGUGAGUGCGGACACCACUCUGCACAAGCUUCAUUACCCAGAGUACCGAGGGCCUCUCAUCAGAAGGGCCAAGUCCCCAAAACAUGCAUAUGUACACGUCACUUUAAAAUAAAGACCUUUCACUAUUUUAAGCAAUCCUAUACCUUAUCAACUAAAGUAUUUUGUAAUCACAAAAAUGUUUCCUAUGGAUAUAGUUUGCACAUUUAUUGCAAGCCAUUGACUAACCACAGACAGGGCAGACGCUAAGAUCUGUGUUGUUGUUGUUGUUAAUUUUUAGGUGAAGGAUGGCAUUUCUAAACUGCUGUGCUUAAAAGCAGAACAAUAGCCAUUCCUGGAAAUCUCCUUCACUCUUCAGCUUGCAAAGACCGCUGUGGGUGAUCGGCUGAUGUUGGACUGCAGGAAUAGUCCGUUUCCUACGGAUGGUGUAACUUCUGCUAUGCAGCAAGCAGUCGGCAGCCCCGUACCGUGUAGCUAUGGGAACUUGGGACCCCCAGGACUAGAAAGAAAAAGGGCUUAGCAAGCUGGGGGUUUCAAGCUUCAAGUUUGGUUUCUAGACAACAUUUGCAAAACGCACAUUUAUAGGCACCCAUUAAACGUAUCUGGAAGACAACUUUGAUCAGCCCAUUGGCCCUUUAUCUCUCUUCCAGUGAUCUUCCCCACGUGGCCAAAUUUCACUUGUCUUUGGGAGAUAGAGGGGCAGGUUGCACUGCUCUUUCCUAGAGCCUUGGGCCAACUUUCAAUUGAGUGAGAUUUGGACGUGUGCUGCCCUUCUGUGACCCUCUGCUAAACCUGGUUUAUCACAGUUCUAAUUUCUGAGAUCCUUACAAAGGCAAUGGUUUGAUUCGAUGAGCAAUUUGAGUAAACCAGUUCCAAAUAAUCACCUUCACUAGUAACCAGCACACAGCUACUAGAGGGGCCCUUUCUUUCUGGAUAUACAAACUGGACCAACAGCACACUUCUGCAAAUAAUGCUUACAGUCCCACUCAAAGAGGCUGAUGAAUAUUACAGCUUCUCACAGCAUAUAUGGGAGAGCAAUAAAGUGAAUUAAAGCUCUCUACUAGGGCACAAUAUCUCCUCAAUGCAGAUUGUUUUGAAGGAUGAGAAGUCAAUUUGAAUAUGCAAUGUAGAUAAAGUAACUGCUCACAGUCUAUAUUUUUAAAAAGUAAGCAAAGCACACACAUACUAGUUUACACACCCCUUGGUAUGGUUGGCUAAAAGCAGUGGGGAAAUAUAAACUUUACAUAUGAGGCAGAAGGCUAGGGAAAAUACCUAUCAUGCACUGGGAAGAAAUGGUCAACUCUGCUGCUGAAGGUGAGGAUUGUCCAGUGCAAUUUGCUAACGGAUUUGGUGUUGGCAUGGAUGACCAGAGCUUCCGCCCCACAGAGUUAAAAUGUAAACCAACACAAAAGGAAUAAGGGCGCUCCUGUUUUCUUGGUUUGAUAGACAACCUAGGGGAGUAAUU